UACGAAGGGGGCGAGCGUUGUUCGGAAUUACUGGGCGUAAAGGGCGCGCAGGCGGCCCUUGAAGUCAGGCGUGAAAGCCCCGGGCUCAACCUGGGAGGUGCGCUUGAUACUCGAGGGCUUGAGUGCGGGAGAGGAGAGUGGAAUUCCCAGUGUAGAGGUGAAAUUCGUAGAUAUUGGGAAGAACACCAGUGGCGAAGGCGGCUCACUGGCCCGGUACUGACGCUGAGGCACGAAAGCGUGGGGAGCAAACAGG
rnacentral:rRNA from 1 species